rnacentral:rRNA from 1 species
GACGAACGCUGGCGGCGUGCUUAACACAUGCAAGUCGAACGGAAAGGCCCUGCUUGCAGGGUACUCGAGUGGCGAACGGGUGAGUAACACGUGGGUGAUCUGCCCUGCACUUCGGGAUAAGCCUGGGAAACCGGGUCUAAUACCGGAUAGGAGCCAUUUUUAGUGUGAUGGUUGGAAAGUUUUUUCGGUGUAGGAUGAGCUCGCGGCCUAUCAGCUUGUUGGUGGGGUAAUGGCCUACCAAGGCGGCGACGGGUAGCCGGCCUGAGAGGGUGGACGGCCACAUUGGGACUGAGAUACGGCCCAGACUCCGACGGGAGGCAGCAGUGGGGAAUAUUGCACAAUGGGCGCAAGCCUGAUGCAGCGACGCCGCGUGGGGGAUGACGGCCUUCGGGUUGUAAACUCCUUUCGCUAGGGACGAAGCUUUUUGUGACGGUACCUAGAUAAGAAGCACCGGCUAACUACGUG